UUACCACUCUGGCCUUUUGGCUUAGAUCAAGUGUAGUAUCUGUUCUUAAUAGUUUAACCACUAUUAUGGAGGCACCGCCUCCAUUCUUGGUUAUCUAAUUUUUGCCGCCCCAGUUCCUCGUCCUCUGCUUGCACGACUUGGGCGCGAUGACUCUGCCGCUGCACUACUGGCUUAUGUCGUCGGGGGAUC
rfam:Agaricus bisporus var. burnettii JB137-S8 unplaced genomic scaffold AGABI1scaffold_31, whole genome shotgun sequence.